rnacentral:rRNA from 1 species
AACGAACGCUGGCGGCAUGCCUAACACAUGCAAGUCGAACGAGACCUUCGGGUCUAGUUGCGCACGGGUGCGUAACGCGUGGGAACCUGCCCUUAGGUUCGGAAUAACUCCCCGAAGGGGGUGCUAAUACCGGAUAAUGUCUUCGGACCAAAGAUUUGGAGCCUGGGGAUGGGCUCGCGUUGGAUUAGCCUGUUGGUAGGGUAAAAGCCUAUCAAGGCGACGAUGGGUAGCUGGUCUGAGAGGGUGAGCGGGCACAGUGGGACUGAGACACGGCCCAGACGACUACGGGAGGCAACAGUGGGGAAGAGUGUACAAUGGGAGGAAGCAUGAUGUAGCAACGCAGCGUGCGGGAGGAAGGCCUGCGGGUGGGAAACAGAUUUCGCCUGUGACGAAGCGUGAGUGACGGUAAGGGGUAAAGAAGCACCGGCUAACUACGUG